rnacentral:rRNA from 1 species
UUUAACAUGAGAGUUUGAUCCUGGCUCAGGAUGAACGCUGGCGGCGUGCUUAACACAUGCAAGUCGAACGAAGCACUUUAUU